CGGUCGUAUAUUGGUAUGAUGUUGGCGUCGUCGUCUGAAGACACAUUGGUUUUCGCACAAUAACUUUAGUUUAAGUGAAUGGAUCUCUAUGAAAUUUUACCAUAAGGUUCAAUACCACAAAAGGAAGGUUGGGAUUGAUUUUGGGGGUUAUGGUAAUAACAGUAAAGGAAUUAGGGGCCAAAAAGGGGCCAAAAAUAAGCAUUUUUGUAACUUCCAGACAUAACUUGUGUGUUAGUGUAUGGAUCUCUCUGACAUUGUACCACAAGGUUCCAUAUCACUAAAGGAAUGCUGGGAUUGAUUUUGGGGGUAAUUGCCUCCAAAUUUUAGGAAUUAGGGGCCAAAAAAGGGGCAAAAAACAAGCAUUUUUCUAGUUUCAUGACAAUAACUUGUGUGUAAGUGUAUGGAUCUUUCUGAAAUUGUACUACAAGGUUCCAUAUCACAAAGGGAAAGCUGGGUUUGAGUUUGGGGGUAAUUGCCCUAAACGUUUAGGAAUUUGGGGCCAAAAAGGGGCCAAAAAACACAUUUUUUUCUAGUUUCCAGACAAUAACUUGUGUUCAAGUGUAUGGAUCUCUCUGAAAUUGUACUGCAAGGUACCAUACCACAAAGGGAAGGCUGGGAUUGAGUUUGGGGGUGAUGAAUCAUAAUGGGGGUUCAAAAAAUUUUGGGGGGGAUUUAUUUUUUUUUCCUUUUUUUCUUUUUUUCCUUUUUUGUUUCUUUUAAAAUUUUCCAUUUUAAGUUGGUUAUUUCUGAUUUAUAUUUAAAAUCAAAUAAUAAUGAUAUGGUAGGAGAUACACACCAAACAGGAUGUGUAAAUUAUUAUAUAAUAAGUAUUGUGCAAUAGCAAGAAAUUUUCAAUUGCACAGUAUUGCACAAUAGCAAGAAAUCUUCAAUUGCACAGUAUUGCGCAAUAGCAAGAAAUCUUCAAUUGCACAGUAUUGCGCAAUAGCAAGAAAUAUCCAAUAGCACAAUAUUGCGCAAUAGCAAGAAAUUGUCAAUUGUACAGUAUUGCGCAAUAGCAAGAAAUAUUUAAUAACACAGGAUUGUGCAAAAGAAGAUACUUCCUAUAAAUUGCUUAUUUCUUGACCAAUUUCAAUGGGGUUUUAUUCUUGAUUUCAUGGGGUUCUUUAAUAUGCUGAAUCUAACCGUGUAUUUAGUUUUUGGAUUUUGGGCCCCGUUUUUAAAUUGGUCCACAUUGAGGUCCAAAGGGUCCAAAAUUAAACUUUGUUUGAUUUCAUCAAAAAUUGAAUUAUUGGGGUUCUUUGAUAUGCCAUAUCUAACUGUGUAUUUAGAUUCUUAAAUUUUGGUUCCGUUUUCAAAUUGGUCUACAUUAAGGUCCAAAGGGUCCAAAAUUAAACUUAGUUUGAUUUUAACAAAAAUUGAAUUCUUAGGGUUCUUUGAUAUGCUGAAUCUAAACAUGUAUUUAGAUUUUUGAUUAUGGGCCCAGUUUUCAAGUUGGUCCAAGUCGGGGUCCAAAAUUAAACUUUGUUUGAUUUCAACAAAAAUUGAAUAUAUGGGGUUCUUUGAUAUGCUGAAUCUAACCAUGUAUUUAGAUUUUUGAUUUUUGGGCCCCGUUAUCAACUUUGUCCACAUUGAGGUCAAAAGGGUCCAAAAUUAAACUUUGUUUGAUUUCAUCAAAAAUUGAAUUAUUGGGGUUCUUUGAUAUGCCAAAUCUAACCGUGUAUUUAGAUUCUUAAUUUUUGGUUCCGUUUUCAAAUUGGUCUACAUUAAGGUCCAAAGGGUCCAAAAUUAAACUUAGUUUGAUUUUAACAAAAAUUGAAUUCUUAGGGUUCUUUGAUAUGCUGAAUCUAAACAUGUAUUUAGAUUUUUGAUUAUGGGCCCAGUUUUCAAGUUGGUCCAAGUCGGGGUCCAAAAUUAAACUUUGUUUGAUUUCAACAAAAAUUGAAUAUAUGGGGUUCUUUGAUAUGCUGAAUCUAACCAUGUAUUUAGAUUUUUGAUUUUUGGGCCCCGUUAUCAACUUUGUCCACAUUGAGGUCAAAAGGGUCCAAAAUUAAACUUUGUUUGAUUUCAUCAAAAAUUGAAUUCUUGGGGUUCUUUGAUAUGCUGAAUCUAACCAUGUAUUUAGAUUUUGGAUAUUGGACCAUAAUAGGUGAAUGUCCAAUUUAAAAUUUUUAAGUUCUUAGACCACAUUCAAUCUGUGUUAGAAACCUAUGCUGUGUCAAAUAUUUAAUCGCAAUCCAAAUCCAAAGCUGUAUCAAGCUUGAAUGUUGUGUCCAUUCUUCCCCCAACUGUUCAGGGUUCGACCUCUGCGCUCGUAUCAAGCUGCGCCCUGCGGAGCAUUUUAUUUCACAUUGUGAAGGAAAAAAACUGGUAUCUACCCUCUCAAAUGUUUGCUUCAUUAAAUUUAAAUUGAAAGUUGAUUGCGAUGAUUACUCAGUACAGACUGGUCUCAUUUAGAUUUAUGGCUUUAUGAUAAAUCAGCACAGACUGGGUUGUCAGUUUGAAAACUAUUUUAUCCUACAUAUAAAUUUAAUCUUAUUAUGAUUUAGUAAUUACAUGUAACAAUUUAUGGUGUUUGAAUGUGCAAUAUAUGGAGUUUAAAUGUGCAAUAUAUUUAUAAAAGAGUAUUCAUAAAAAGGAAAUAUUAAAAGAUGCUGUUUAAAUUUAUAGGCCACACAAAUAUAAUGUUUAGUUCUAUGGGUUAUAGGUAUACAAAAAGAUGUGAGUGUUUAAAUUUUUUUUUCAAUUUGAAACAGCUUUAAAUUUUUCAGAAUGUUUGAAAUGGGAUUUAUAAACUAAGUGAAUAAGAAAGCAACAUUGACAUGUACUUUCUAUUCAAUAAAAAGUUAUACCAAAUUUCACAUUUUUAACCAAAAUUGAAAUAUGCACUCUUAAUGGUAAAUUUUAACAAUAAUGAACCUGUCUAGAAAUAAUUCAGUUUUCAGUUUAAUAGUUAUCUUUGCAUUUUUGCAAUUGUUCUACAAAAACACUCAGAAAAUCUACUAUUUAACUGUAUAAAAACUCAAUUUUAACAUUGUUAAAUGAUGAUAUCUCCUUUGUCAUAGAUUAAAAAAAACAACAAAAAAACUGCAUACUUAAUAUAGGUGUUGAAAUUUAAAAACUUCAUUAGCUAAAAGUGAUGCAAGCAACUAUACAGGACUUACAUCAAUUUGGUAUGCCUAAAUGCUUUUUUUGGACAAUUCAAAUGUUCAUUAUCUUUUAUUUUUGUUUGAAUUUUAAAAUAGAAAAAUAUAUGUUCUUUCAAUCUUUUUAUAAAAUCAACACAAAGUAUCAUUAGGAGUUUGAGAAGAUCUUCAUAAAGGUCAAGGUUAUGUUAUAUUGUGUAAUCUCGUUGUGAUGUGGAUUCCAAGCUUAUUAAGAACAAUUGAUUUAUAUAGAUGUGUUAAUACUACAUGUUUUCAUGUUUGUAUAACCCAUUCCAUUAUUUAUAUAGAUAUUUGUUAUGUAUUUAUUUAUUUAUUGACAUUCCUCUUUGUUAUAAAGUAUGUAAUUUAAUUUUUUUUUCAUUGUGAGAAAGAAAAAGGUGCAAUAUUUUCAGCAGAUAAAUGCUUCAAAAUGAUAA